AGUGAACGCUGGCGGUAGGCCUAACACAUGCAAGUCGAACGGCAGCACAGUAAGAGCUUGCUCUUACGGGUUGCGAGUGGCGGACGGGUGAGGAAUACAUCGGAAUCUACUUUUUCGUAGGGGAUAACGUAGGGAAACUUACGCUAAUACCGCAGACGACCUACGGUUGAAAGCAGUGGAUCUUCGGACCUUGCGCGGUUGAAUGAGCCGAUGUCGGGUUAGCUAGUUGGCGGGGUAAAGGCCCACCAAGGCGACGAUCCGUAGCUGGUCUGAGAGGAUGAUCAGCCACCCUGGAACUGAGACACGGACCAGACUCCUACGGGAGGCAGCAGUGGGGAAUAUUGGACAAUGGGCGCAAGCCUGAUCCAGCCAUACCGCGUGGGUGAAGAAGGCCUUCGGGUUGUAAAGCCCUUUUGUUGGGAAAGAAAAGCAGCAGGUUAAUACCCCGCUGUUCUGACGGUACCCAAAGAAUAAGCACCGGCUAACUUCGUG
rnacentral:rRNA from 1 species